rnacentral:rRNA from 1 species
GCUGAGGCACGAAAGCGUGGGGAGCAAACAGGAUUAGAUACCCUGGUAGUCCACGCCGUAAACGAUGAGUACUAAAUGUUGGGUAAAACCAGUGUUGAAGUUAACACAUUAAGUACUCCGCCUGAGUAGUACGUACGCAAGUAUGAAACUUAAAGGGAUUGACGGGACUCCGCACAAGCGGUGGAUCAUGUUGUUUAAUUCGAAGGUACCCGAAAAACCUCACCAGGUCUUGACAUGCUUCUGCAAAGCUGUAGAAGCACAGUGGAGGUUAUCAGUUGCACAGGUGGUGCAUGGUUGUCGUCAGCUCGUGUCGUGAGGUGUUGGGUUAAGUCCCGCAACGAGCGCAACCCUUAUUGUUAGUUGCCGGCACGUAAUGGUGGGGACUUUAGCAAGACUGCCAGUGAUAAAUUGGAGGAAGGUGGGGACGACGUCAAAUCAUCAUGCCCCUUAUGACCUGGGCUACAAACGUGAUACAAUGGCUGUUACAAA